rnacentral:rRNA from 1 species
UGAGGAAUCUUGCGCAAUGGGGGAAACCCUGACGCAGCAACGCCGCGUGAGUGAGGAAGGUCUUCGGAUCGUAAAGCUCUGUCGGAUGGAAAGAACCGCAUGAAGGUUAACAGCCUUUGUGUUUGACGGUACCAUCAAAGGAAGCACCGGCUAACUCCGUGCCAGCAGCCGCGGUAAUACGUAGGGGGCGAGCGUUAUUCGGAAUUACUGGGUGUAAAGGGUAUGUAGGCGGCCCUUCAAGUCGCGUGUCAAAGUCCAGUGCUCAACGCUGGGUGUGCGCGCGAUACUGACGGGCUUGAGGGCUGGAGAGGUGAGCGGAAUUCCCGGUGUAGUGGUAAAAUACGUAGAGAUCGGGAGGAACACCAGCGGCGCAGGCGGCUCACUAGACAGUUUCUGACGCUAAGAUACGAAAGCGUGGGGAGCAAACA